AUUGAACGCUGGCGGUGUGCUUAACACAUGCAAGUCGAUCGGUAACGCGGGGGCAACCCUGGCGACGAGAGGCGGACGGGUGAGGAACGCUUGGGAAUCUGCCCUUCAGCGGGGGACAACCCGGGGAAACUCGGGCUAAUACCGCAUACGCUCCACGGAGGAAAGCCGGGGACCGCAAGGCCUGGCACUGAAGGAUGAGCCCAAGCCGGAUUAGCGAGUUGGCGGGGUAACGGCCCACCACGGCGACGAUCCGUAGCUGGUCUGAGAGGACGAUCAGCCACACGGGAACGGAGACACGGUCCGGACUCCUACGGGAGGCAGCAGGGGGGAAUAGUGGACAAUGGGGGAAACCCGGAUCCAGCGGCGCCGCGUGGGUGAAGAAGGCCUGCGGGUUGUAAAGCCCUUUCGGUAGGGACGAAAGUUCUUGCCUUAAUACGGCAGGAGGUUGACUUAACCUACAUAAGAAGCACCGGCUAACUCUGUGCCAGCCGCCGCAGUAA
rnacentral:rRNA from 1 species